CCUACGGGUGGCAGCAGUGAGGAAUAUUGGUCCAUGGUCGGGAGACUGAACCAGCCAAGCCGCGUGAGGGAUGAAGGUACAGAGUAUCGUAAACCUCUUUUGUCAGGGAACAAAGGAGGGGACGCGUCCCCGGAUGAGAUUACCUGAAGAAAAAGCAUCGGCUAACUCCGUGCCAGCAGCCGCGGUAAUACGGGGGAGGCGAGCGUUAUCCGGUUUUGGUGGGUGUAAAGGGUGCGCAGGCGGUCAGUUAAGUCAGCGGUCAAAGCCCGGGGCGCAACCCCGGCCCGCCGUUGAAACUUGCAGUCUCGAGUUGGAGAGAAGUAGGCGGAAUGCGCGGUGUAGCGGUGAA
rnacentral:rRNA from 1 species